GUGACCAUCUUUACCCUGCAGCCGGGCUUUCUCCUUUGUCUGUUUUUCUACCAAGAAUAAUUGACUGAUGCGUGGAUUUGCUUGGCUCACUAUAUUUUUAUUGAGCACAGUGUAGCAAUCUCAUUUCCCCUGAAUACUGCUCAAAAUUUUUAAUAUAUACUUCACCAUCAGAUGCCCUACUAAGAAGGGAAGUUGUGGAAGUUGGUGUAGUCACUGACAGAACUAGAGCUAGAAGUUAGACAUUUUGAGUGAAGAUAAAACGUGUGGACAACAAAACAGCUUAAAGGCUGAAACGGUGUCUGUUCCUCUCUCUUCAUUUCCCUCGUGAUUAAUGAGAAACGUUCCCAGACCUGAGCGUCCUGAAGUGAAGCCGCAGCCCACCACAUGCGGCUCCUGUUCUGGAGAGCCUGGAGAGCACAGCUCAGCCUCCCUGGAUAACGGCCCGUAGUCUGGAUGGGGCUGCUCCAGGUCUCCACUGGAGCUGCCUGUGGACGCUGCCCUCUUGCUGACACCCAUGCGCGGUGGCUGCAGAGGUAAUGAGAGUGCUGGACACAGUGACCACAGCCUCAGGACUGGAGCUGCACCUUGCGAGGUGAUGCAGGCAUCACAGACCGAGGUCAUCGCGGCUCACUGGAGCCUAGGGCCCUGCGGUGAUUUUCUGGGCCUGUUGUUACUGAACAGUGGAGAGAAGUAAUGUGACA